UUAUUGUCAUGUAAAUUCAGUACAAAACCUAAAAAUAAAUCUUAAAUUAAUUUUAUGUGUACCCAAGUAAUUAAACACUUAGAACCCUUAAAGGGAGACGCAUUAAACGGUGUUUCCAAAUUCCCAAUAAUAUCCAUGCAGCGUAGUGUAACUUAAAGCAGCAACCGGAUACCAAAUACAAACACCGCUGACACCCGAGCUGCGAUACAUUCCGCAGACACUUUGCAGUUGGCCAUCAGCCAGGGGGCGUUGUCGGAAAUUUACAUAAACAUGGGGCUCACGGAAAGCCUUUAAAUGGAAUCCAAAAUAUUCUCAAGGACUUCCAUGUUAAUGACCAUGUUAUUAAUGAAUUUUUAAUAUCAUUUUCAUUGAGUCUGCUCUGGACACACAAAUUUGAUUGAAUUUUGCGGCAGCGUACAGUGGUUCCCAUUGUAUGGGGAAAGCGGCCAAAAAUACUUUAGUUGAGGUAGACACUUGAAACUUAGCACAACAUUUUCUUAUUUUUGUAUAUGAAAAAAUCAGCCGGAUCGGACCACUAUAUCAUAUAGCUGUCAUAUGAACGAUCAGUUUGAAAUUAAGUGUUAGUAUGUACAACUUUUUUUUUCAAUUAUUUUGAAACGAAAACUUCUACAUAAGAAAUUACCGAGACGGGAUCGACUACGGAACCGAGUACUAAA
rnacentral:sRNA from 1 species